AUUGAACGCUGGCGGCAGGCCUAACACAUGCAAGUCGAGCGAGUGGCGGACGGGUGAGUAAUGUAUGGGGACUGCAUGAUAGCGGGGGAUAACUACUGGAAACGGUGGCUAAUACCGCAUACUAUCGGCAAACCCAUAUGGGAUUAGCUCGUAGGUGGGGUAAAGGCUCACCUAGGCGACGAUCUGUAGCUGGUCUGAGAGGAUGAUUGGCCACAUUGGAACUGCGACACGGCCCAGACUCCUACGGAGGCAGCAGUGGGGAAUAUUGCACAAUGGGCGCAAUCCUGAUGCAGCCAUGCCGCGUGUAUGAAGAAGGCCUUAGGGUUGUAAAGUACUUUCAGCGGGGAGGCGUUACCCGCAGAAGAAGCACCGGCUAACUCCGUGCCAGCAGCCGCGGUAAUAC
rnacentral:rRNA from 1 species